GCCUGGGUGGCUCAGUGAGUUAAGCUUCUGACUUUGGCUCAGGUCCUGAUCUCAUGGUUUGUGGGUUUGAACCCCAUGUCGGGCU
rnacentral:tRNA from 1 species